AACAAACGCUGGCGGCGUGCCUAAUACAUGCAAGUCGAGCGGAGAUGAGGUGCUUGCACCUUAUCUUAGCGGCGGACGGGUGAGUAAUGCUUAGGAAUCUGCCAUUUAGUGGGGGACAACAUUCCGAAAGGAAUGCUAAUACCGCAUACGUCCUACGGGAGAAAGCAGGGGAUCUUCGGACCUUGCGCUAAAUGAUGAGCCUAAGUCGGAUUAGCUAGUUGGUGGGGUAAAGGCCUACCAAGGCGACGAUCUGUAGCGGGUCUGAGAGGAUGAUCCGCCACACUGGGACUGAGACACGGCCCAGACUCCUACGGGAGGCAGCAGUGGGGAAUAUUGGACAAUGGGCGGAAGCCUGAUCCAGCCAUGCCGCGUGUGUGAAGAAGGCCUUUUGGUUGUAAAGCACUUUAAGCGAGGAGGAGGCUACUAGUACUAAUACUACUGGAUAGUGGACGUUACUCGCAGAAUAAGCACCGGCUAACUCUGUGCCAGCCGCCGCGGUAACAC
rnacentral:rRNA from 1 species